UACAGAGGUCUCAAGCGUUGUUCGGAAUUACUGGGCGUAAAGGGCGCGUAGGCGGCCUUCUAAGUCGAACGUGAAAUCCCCGGGCUCAACCCGGGAACUGCGUCCGAUACUGGAAGGCUUGAAUCCGGGAGAGGGAUGCGGAAUUCCAGGUGUAGCGGUGAAAUGCGUAGAUAUCUGGAGGAACACCGGUGGCGAAGGCGGCAUCCUGGACCGAGAUUGACACUGAUGAGCGAAAGCUAGGGGAGCAAACGGG
rnacentral:rRNA from 1 species